rnacentral:tRNA from 1 species
CUCGGCGCGCGGCGCGGCCCUCCGCGCCGUCCGCGGCUCGUGGCCGCUGGCCGCCGGCGCGCUGGCGCUGGCCCUGCUCGGCGCGGGCGUCCUGC